GUUUAUCAAAAACAUGUCUUUUAGAAAUUAAUUUAAAGUCUAACCUGCCCCCUGAAUUUUAAAUGGCCGCAGUAUUUUAACUGUGCAAAGGUAGCAUAAUCAUUAGUCUUUUAAUUGAAGGCUGGUAUGAAUGGUUGGAUGAAAUAUUAACUGUUUCAUAAAAAUUAAUAAUAGAAUUUUAUUUUUUAGUUAAAAAGCUAAAAUUUAAUUAAAAGACGAGAAGACCCUAUAAAUCUUUAUAUUUUAUUGGGGUGAUAUUAAAAUUUAAUAAACUUUUAAUUUAUAAUUUACAUUAAUUUAUGUUUUUAUGAUCCAUUAAUUAUGAUUAAAAAAACAAGUUACUUUAGGGAUAACAGCGUAAUUUUUUUAGAGAGUU
rnacentral:rRNA from 1 species